GGGACACACAGGUGUGACACAGGUGUGACACAGGUGACCCCCAGGUGAGCCAGGUGAGCCCCGCCCAGGGAGUGGCUGGAGGGGGACGGCGGCGGCCGCGACAGGCUGGGGGGACAGACAGGUGUGACACAGGUGUGACACAGGUGACACCCAGGGGACACCCAGGUGACACCCAGGUAAGCCAGGUGACACACAGUGACACACAGGUGACACCCAGGUGACACCCAGGGACACAGGUGUGACACAGGUGACCCCCAGGUGAGCCCCAGGUGACACACAGGGACACAGGUGUGACACAGGUGACACACAGGUGUGACACAGGUGACCCAGGUGACACACAGGUGUGACACACAGGUGACACACAGGUGACACACAGGUGUGACACACAGGUGACACCCCACACCCCCAUGCUGGGACGGGCACUGGUGACACUGGGACAGGUGUUACUGGGGGGACAGGUGGCUUUGGGGAGGGGUCUCAGGUGUAAUUUGGGGAGGGGUCUCAGGUGUAAUUUGGGGAGGGGUCUCACUCACCUGUCCUUGCCGUUGGGCAGCAGCAGGUGGCGCUCUCCCCCCGGGCGCUCCGAGCACACGAACGUGUUCCUGCGGCCCAUCACACUGGGGGGCACGUG
rnacentral:lncRNA from 1 species